GAUGAAGAACGCAGUGAAAUGCGAUAACUAAUGUGAAUUGCAGAAUUCAGUGAAUCAUCGAGUCUUUGAACGCACAUUGCGCCCCCUGGCAUUCCGGGGGGCAUGCCUGUCCGAGCGUCAUUGCUGCCCUUCAAGCCCGGCUUGUGUGUUGGGUCGUCGUCCCCCCCGGGGGACGGGCCCGAAAGGCAGCGGCGGCACCGCGUCCGGUCCUCGAGCGUAUGGGGCUUUGUCACCCGCUCGAUUAGGGCCGGCCGGGCGCCAGCCGGCGUCUCCAACCUUCUAUUUUACCAGGUUGACCUCGGAUCAGGUAGGGAUACCCGCUGAACUUAAGCAUAUCAAUAAGCGGAGGA
rnacentral:misc_RNA from 1 species